GACGAACGCUGGCGGCGUGCCUAAUACAUGCAAGUCGAACGCAGUGGGGAUGGGUGAUUAACACGUGGGUAACCUCCCAUCUGAGUGGAUAACACUUGGAAACAGGUGCUAAACCGCUACUGAUUGAUGGACUCGCGGUGCAUUAGCUAGUUGGUGAGGUAACGGCUCACCAAGUCCACGAUGCAUAGGCGGCCUGAGGGGGUGGUAGACCAAACUGGGAAUGAGAAAAGGCCCAGAAUUCUAAGGGGGGCAGGAGUAGGGAAUCUUCGGAAAUGGACGAAAGUCCGACCGAGCAAAGCCGGGGGAGAGAAGAAGGUUUUCGGAUCGUAAAACUCUGUUGUGAGAGAAGAGGUAUCUAACCAGAAAGCCACGGCUAAAUACGUGCCAGCAGCCGCGGGAAUAC
rnacentral:rRNA from 1 species